rnacentral:rRNA from 1 species
GACGAACGCUGGCGGCGUGCUUAACACAUGCAAGUCGAACGGAAAGGCCCUGCUCUUGUGGGGUGCUCGAGUGGCGAACGGGUGAGUAACACGUGAGUAACCUGCCCUUGUCUUUGGGAUAACUUCAGGAAACUGGGGCUAAUACCGGAUAGGAGCUCCUGCUGCACGGGGGGGGUUGGAAAGUUUCGGCGGUGGUGGCUGGACUCGCGGCUUAUCAGCUUGUUGGUGGGGUAGUGGCUUACCAAGGCUUUGACGGGUAGCCGGCCUGAGAGGGUGACCGGCCACCAUGGGACUAAGAUACGGACCAGACGGCAACGGGAGGCAGUAGUGGGGAACAUUGCACAGUGGGCGGAAGCGUGAGGCAGCAACGCCGCGUGCGGGAUGACGGCCUUCGGGUUGUGAACCGAUUUCGACUGUGACGAAGAGUGAGUGACGGUAAUGGGUAAGGAAGCACCGGCUAACUACGUG